UGCAUGUGUAGCGAACAAUGGGAGCUGCGGACUGCUCAGUAACAGGCGAUUAAUUUAAUCUUUACAAACGGACAAACUCAGGAAACCGAGUGUAAUACGUAAAAGACGAAUUUUUAAAUAAAAAGAAAACGUUUUUAGCUUGAAUAAAGCGGUAAAGAAUAAGACGCCAACCCAUCAGUUAGUAAGUAGGGUAAGGGCCUAUUUAGACGAAUACGGGUACGGGGAAUUAGGGUUUGAUUCCGGAGAGGGAGCCUGAGAGACGGCUACCAGGUCCAAGGACGGCAGCAGGCGCGAAAAUUACCGAAGCUCAAAUAGAGGCGGUAGUAAUGAGACGUAAAAAAAUAAUAUAAGGGUAAAAAACUUAUUAAUAACUGGAGGUCAAGUCUGGUGCCAGCAUCCGCGGUAAUACCAGCUCCAGGGGUGUCUAUGAUGAUUGCUGCGAUUAAAAGGUCCGUAGUCGAAUUUAGAUAAUUGUUUGUAAUAUGUUAGAUAAAAUAAUAAAAAGAACAAUUAGUUAAAUGAAAGGAAUAACAAGAGGUUGAUUAAUCGAGUAACGAGAGGUGAAAUUUGAUGACUUACUUGGGAGAAACAGAGGCGAAAGCGUCAAUCAAGUGUAAAUCCGAUGAUCAAGGACGUAGGCUGGAGUAUCGAACACGAUUAGAUACCGUAGUAGUUCCAGCAGUAAACUAUGCCUACGCCAUUGAAUAAAAGUUUGGUGGACGAGAAAUCUAGAGUAGGGCUUUGGGGAGAGUACACGCGCAAGCGAUAAAUUUAAAGGAAAUUGACGGAAGAACACCACAAGGAGUGGAGUGUGCGGCUUAAUUUGACUCAACGCGGGACAGCUUACCAA
rnacentral:rRNA from 1 species